UACGUAGGGUGCGAGCGUUUGUCCGGAUUUAUUGGGCGUAAAGGGCUCGUAGGCGGCCUGUCGCGUCGGGAGUGAAAGCCCACUGCUUAACGGUGGGUCUGCUUCCGGUACGGGCGGGCUGGAGUAUGGCAGGGGAGACUGGAAAUUCCUGGUGUAGCGGUGGAAUGCGCAGAUAUCAGGAGGAACACCUGAGGCGAAGGCGGGCUACUGGGCCGAUACUGACGCUGAUGCGCGAAAGCCAGGGGAGCAAAACGGG
rnacentral:rRNA from 1 species